GACGAACGCUGGCGGCGUGCUUAACACAUGCAAGUCGAACGGAAAGGCCCUGCUUUUGUGGGGUGCUCGAGUGGCGAACGGGUGAGUAACACGUGAGUAACCUGCCCUUGACUUUGGGAUAACUUCAGGAAACUGGGGCUAAUACCGGAUAGGAGCUCCUGCUGCAUGGUGGGGGUUGGAAAGUUUCGGCGGUUGGGGAUGGACUCGCGGCUUAUCAGCUUGUUGGUGGGGUAGUGGCUUACCAAGGCUUUGACGGGUAGCCGGCCUGAGAGGGUGACCGGCCACAUUGGGACUGAGAUACGGCCCAGACUCCUACGGGAGGCAGCAGUGGGGAAUAUUGCACAAUGGGCGGAAGCCUGAUGCAGCAACGCCGCGUGCGGGAUGACGGCCUUCGGGUUGUAAACCGCUUUCGCCUGUGACGAAGCGUGAGUGACGGGAAUGGGGAAAGAGGCACCGGCUAACUACGU
rnacentral:rRNA from 1 species